AAGGUUGUGCAGGCCGGGCGGGCGGCGCGGCGGUGCUGCGAGGGGGAGGGAAGGCCUCUUCCGCCGGCGGCCGUCUCAGGUGAGCGGGCGGGGAGCGGGGGUGGUCCCGGUGGGCGUCGGGGUCGCGCUCCGGCUGGCUCCUAUUGUCACUCUCAGCGGGCUCCGGCCAUGGCACUCACUCACUCACACACACACACUCACUCACUCACUCACUCACAAGCCAGCCUGCUGCCACCGCCCCGCGGCCCGCCCCCCCGCGCCCGCCCACCGGAGCCCGUCGCCAGGACGCGCCGCCUCAUUGGCGCCCGCCGCCGCCGCCGGGACAGCCGGGAAAGGGGGAGUGCUGCCGGGGAAGGAGGCGGUGCCGGUCGGGGCGGCGGCGGCGGCGCCCAGCGGCUCCUCCUUGCCAUCGGCCUUCUCGUCCCUUAGCGGGGCGGGGGGGGGGAGACGGACGAGCGCCGCCGCCGCCAGAGCGCGAGGCCCGUCGGCUUUUGCAGUGUCUUCCUCAGCCAACGUCCACUCCCCAACCGCCUCUGAAGGUUCCGGUGCUCCCCACCCCCGUGUCUCCACAGGACUGUCUCUGGCACCUGAAACUACGCCUGGACAUCGAGCGCCUGCCCGUGUGUCACCUUGUCCGCUGUGCCACCAGUUGGAGAAUUUACAACAUUAUCCUGUGUCAGGUGAGUCCCGGAAGAAUUUAUAGCAAGAAUCAGUAGCCAAAACUUGAAUGAGAGAAGAUAAAAAAUAGAGUUGAGAAUUUUCAGGGGUUGCAAGGAGGAGUUGAAAACAUGAUUUUGCCAAGGCACCGAGCAGCACCAGCAGACACCUCUCGAAAAUUCAUCUUAAGCUAUAUUUAGUACAUUCAAAGAAAUUGUGGCUCCCACUUGAGCCAUUUCAGCUCAAAUACAGAUAAACAACAAUCAGAUCACAUAGGCUGUUUGCUCGUCUUGCGUAAAUAAAUAUUGAACAGAAUUGUGCA
rnacentral:lncRNA from 1 species